GCUUGAAAAGACUUUUCAAGAAUAUAAGGAACUCAACCUUGAAAUUUCAUUGUUGGACCCUGCGGAUUCCGAACGUGUUGAGGACUUCGAGGAGAAAUAUGAUCUGCUCAAAUCGUUCUAUGCGGGUGUAGUAAACAAGGCAUUGGACGCCUCUACGUCGAGCGUCUCACCGCAACCAUCCUUUUCGUCUCCUGGAGGCUGUAAUGCCUCGCCAUUUAGGCUGCCUCCAAUAAAUCUAAAAGUGUUCGCGGGAGAGAGCAACGGGCUGCUGCCUUGGAGUCCCUGGGAGAGCGGACGCCUUCAGGGCGCCGGUCUAGUUUAGUUGCGAGUAGUGUUAAAGUGGCCAAGCCGCUUAAGUCAGGUAUAAACAAAUGCGCUUUUGCCGGAGCAGCUGCCAGCCCUGCCUAGCAAGCUGAUCCUGCAGAAUACACGCUUUGGGUUUAUCGUUGCUGGAUUGGCUGGUGCUUCCGACACAGCCCCGGUAUCCAACUUAGUAUCAAAUUAUUGCU